CAUAGCGACUAUCGUGGCAUAUAAUAAGCGGAGGAAAAGAAACUAACAAGGAUUCCCCUAGUAAUGGCGAGUGAAGCGGGAAGAGCUCAAAUUUGAAAUCUUAAAGGGUUUCCCUUUACGAAUUGUAGUUUAAAGAAGUGUUUUCUGUUGGAGUUUCGGUAAAAGUUCUUUGGAGUAGGACAUCAUAGAGGGUGAGAAUCCCGUAUUUGACCGUUACUUUCCAGCUGUGUGAUACACUUUCAAAGAGUCGGAUUGUUUGGGAAGGCAGUCCAAAAUGGGUGGUAAAUUUCAUCUAAAGCUAAAUAUUGGCGAGAGACCGAUAGCGAACAAGUACCGUGAGGGAAAGAUGAAAAGAACUUUGAAAAGAGAGUUAAACAGUACGUGAAAUUGUCAAAAGGGAAGCGUUUGACACCAGUGUUGUUUAGUUGAAAAUCAAUUCAAUAAUUUUUGAUUUUAAGUAGUAUUGACUUCAUCAGCUUGCUGCUUUCUUUUCAGGAAUUAUUGAAUGCACUUUUCAGUUAACAAGUCAACAUCAAUUUCUUUUGUUGUAAAAGGGUAAGAGGAAGGUGGCUUACGCUUCGGCGUAAGUGUUUAUAGCCUUUUACCUCCGCAAUCGGAGAGAUUGAGGACAGCAGCGUAGACUCUUCGGGGUUAGAUACACUUGUGCUAAGCUAUAGCCUUGUAUAGACAACUUGUUGACUAUGCUCAGUCAUGUAGCUUACUCGCUUGUGCUAUUUUACCUACGCUUAGGAUGUUGAUAUGCAUGACUGAUAU
rnacentral:rRNA from 1 species